rnacentral:lncRNA from 1 species
UAAACACAAAGAUAGAUAUAUAUUUAUAUAGGUACAAAUAUUGAAUGUUACAGAAAUGAAUUUUUCAGAUAUCUACUAUGAUUUUAUGUUUAUGAAUUUAGUAGAUAAUAUUUUUUAUACAGUUCACACAAAGUGAUCAUGAUUAACAUUAUUAAUGUUUUAUUGAAUAAUGUUCAUACAAAGGGCUCUUUGUAAAAAAUGAUUUGUUAGUACUGAAACUUUGAUGACUAACAAGUACUGUAAGUUCAGAAAUUAUAGCAUGCAUUUAUAUUUGUUAUUUUUAAGAGCGAACAAAAUGCGAGAUUAAUUAUUGCGAUACCAAGAAAAUCUGUGUACAAUUAAAUGUAUCAGAUAUAAGAAUACAAAUUCUUAUUUUUGCUAUUAAUCAUGAAGUUAAAUUUUUCCCAUUAAU